ensembl:lncRNA
GGAGAGGAGAGCCAGAGAAGUGACAGGGAAGCUACAGGUUACAACAGAUUUGUGAACUCAGCCAAGCACAGUGGUGGCAGGGCCUAGCUGCUACAAAGAAGACAUGAUUUAGACAAAUACUCAUGUGUAUGGGCAAAAAACUCGAGGACUGUAUUUGUGACUAAUUGUAUAACAGGUUAUUUUAGUUUCUGUUCUGUGGAAAGUGUAAAGCAUUCCAACAAAGGGUUUUAAUGUAGAUUUUUUCUUUUUCUUUUUUUUUUUUGCACCCAUGCUGUUGAUUGCUAAAUGUAAUAGUCUGAUCGUGACGCUGAAUAAAUGUCUUUAAAAAAAAAAAUACAAAAAAUUAGCAGGCUGUGUUAGUGCAUGCCUGUAGUCCCAGCUACUCAGGAUGCUGAGGCCGGCUAAUUGUUUGAACCUGGGAAGCAGAGGUUUUGGUGAGCCAAGAUUGAGCCACUGCACUCCAGCCUGGGCAACAGAGCAAGACCUUGUCUCAAAUAAAUAAAUAAGGCAUUCAAAUGAAACAAACAAACAAAAAAACUAGAAAAGAAAUUUUUCAAGAAAAACAACAAAAAAAGGAAUAAAAAAUAAGGCAUUCAGUAAGUCCCACAGAUGGGUAGGGUUGGCGGAAAUAUGGCACAUAGAUCAGAUCCAAAACCAGAAUGUAUCUAUUCCACAAAGGACAAAUUGCUGCCCUAGCUACGAUGGAAUGGUCCAAGUUACCAACGUGUCACAAGGUUGCUGGCUGACUCCACCAAAAUAUGGUGCCCUAUUGAGAUGUCAGGGUUGGUGACUGCUGGGGCCAAGCUGGACACUCAGCAGAGACAGCAGCCAGAUCCAUCUGACUUCUGCACUGGCUACCCUGAGGAUGUAAUAAGAAUGGCCACUUGGCGAGUACUGUUGCUCACACCUGUAAUCCCAGCACUUUGGGAGGCCAAGCUGGGAGGAUUGCUUGAGCCCAGAAGUUUGAGAUCACCGUGGACAACAUAGCAAGAACUCAUGUCUACAAAAAAUUAGCUGGGCAUGGUGGUGUGCACCUGUGGUCCCAGCCACUUGGGAAGCUAAGGUGGGCUAUUGCUUACGCUUGGGAGGUGGAGGUAGUGAGCCAUGAUCAUGCCAUUGCACUUCAGCCUGGGCAACAGAGCGAGACUCUAUUUCAAAUAAACAAACAAAACAAAAUGAUUACUUGUAGAAGAGUCUAUUCAUUAUUUCCCAGUGUGUGUCCUUCUCUUAUUCCAUAAUAAUAGAACCCUGGUUUGCAACUUGACAUAGGGCCAGCCUCACUUAUUACUACUUAAGAGUGGCCACUUACUACUAAUCCUGGCUGAUGAGUUGUAAGUGAAAUAAUUGUGUGCUUACAUUUAAGAGUGUGUAGGCUGGGCGGGGUUGCUCAUUGCCCGUAAUACCAGCACUUUGGGAGGCCAAGAUGGGAGGAUUACUUGAGGUCAGUAGUGCAAGACCAGCCUGGCCAACAUGGUGAAACCACUUUAAAAGUUGCAAAAAUUAGCUAGGCAUGGUGGUGCACGCCUGUAGUCCCAACUACUUAGGAG